GGGCAUGCCAAUAACGCCUUUAACACAUGGCGCAUGCUUGCUUCCCAAAGCUAAGGAGGGCUCUGUGCAGGCGGGCAGCCCACCCUAAGGGAAGAAUCAUGGGAAAGAGCUCUGGCCUUGCAGCCUGUUUCUUCAUCUGAAAAAAAGAAGGAAAAAUAAUACCAAACUCAGAAAGACUUCAUGAGGAUCGAGUCUGUUUGAAUUGCUUUUCAUUGCACCUUCUAAAUAUGGGGAACUGCGACAUGAAGAAGUUAACUUACCUAAGAUCAGAGAAUGAGUCAAGGACAGAACAGGACCAUGUCAUCAAAUUUAGAGAAACUUGAACUAUGAGUUUGAACCUGCUCUUCCCAAUUCAUGAAUUUUGUAAUGGAGAACAUUGGAUCCAGACAAAUCCUGAUUUAAUUUCAACUUUACACCCUCAGAUCUACAAUGUUCCUGGUGUCAGGAUGCCCAUUAUGGAAGCUUACACUGUUGUGGGAGAAUUAAGUCUUGGCAUAACCCAAGAUCACAAAACUGAGGCCAAGAGGGAGGAAGCGAUUUGCCCAAGAUCACACAGGGAAUUGGGAGCAGAAUUAGAUCUUAAAUGCAAGCAUCUCAACUGCUACUUAGUCUUUUCUUUUAUAUAUAUCAAGUUACAUAUUUUUUCUUCCAAAUAUACUUCCUGUAUACUUUGUAAAACGAAGUAAGGAUAAGAGAUGUGCAGUUUUCAUAUUUCAAUGUUAGGGAUUAAAGAUUUCUUCAAGCAUCUGAUUGCUGAUUGGCUAAGAAACACACGCCAGUAUUUGUGGAUAUGUAAGAAUAAAAAAAGAUUUCUUAUGGUAUAUACUUUCAAUGAAUUUGAAGUAAUAAAGAAGCAUUUGUUUC
ensembl:lncRNA novel transcript, antisense to DEC1